ensembl:snRNA U6 U6 spliceosomal RNA
GUGCUCACUUCAGCAGCACAUACUAAAACUGGAAUGAUUAGCCUCUGCUCAAGAAUGACAUGCAAAUUUGUGAAGUGUUCCAUAUUCUC